rnacentral:rRNA from 1 species
UUGAACGCUGGCGGCAGGCCUAACACAUGCAAGUCGAGCGGAUGAAGGGAGCUUGCUCCUGGAUUUAGCGGCGGACGGGUGAGUAAUGCCUAGGAAUCUGCCUGGUAGUGGGGGAUAACGUCCGGAAACGGGCGCUAAUACCGCAUACGUCCUGAGGGAGAAAGUGGGGGAUCUUCGGACCUCACGCUAUCAGAUGAGCCUAGGUCGGAUUAGCUAGUUGGUGGGGUAAAGGCCUACCAAGGCGACGAUCCGUAACUGGUCUGAGAGGAUGAUCAGUCACACUGGAACUGAGACACGGUCCAGACUCCUACGGGAGGCAGCAGUGGGGAAUAUUGGACAAUGGGCGAAAGCCUGAUCCAGCCAUGCCGCGUGUGUGAAGAAGGUCUUCGGAUUGUAAAGCACUUUAAGUUGGGAGGAAGGGCAGUAAGUUAAUACCUUGCUGUUUUGACGUUACCAACAGAAUAAGCACCGGCUAACUUCGUG